rnacentral:rRNA from 1 species
GAUGAACGCUGGCGGCGUGCCUAAUACAUGCAAGUCGAGCGAACGGACGAGAAGCUUGCUUUUCUGAUGUUAGCGGCGGACGGGUGAGUAACACGUGGAUAACCUACCUAUAAGACUGGGAUAACUUCGGGAAACCGGAGCUAAUACCGGAUAAUAUUUUGAACCGCAUGGUUCAAAAGUGAAAGACGGUCUUGCUGUCACUUAUAGAUGGAUCCGCGCUGCAUUAGCUAGUUGGUAAGGUAACGGCUUACCAAGGCAACGAUGCAUAGCCGACCUGAGAGGGUGAUCGGCCACACUGGGACUGAGACACGGUCCAGACUCCUACGGGAGGCAGCAGUAGGGAAUCUUCCGCAAUGGGCGAAAGCCUGACGGAGCAACGCCACGAGAGUGAUGAAGGUCUUCGGAUCGUAAAACUCUGUUAUUAGGGAAGAACAUAUGUGUAAGUAACUGUGCACAUCUUGACGGUACCUAAUCAGAAAGCCACGGCUAACUACGUGCCAGCAGCCGCGGUAAUACGUAGGUGGCAAGCGUUAUCCGGAAUUAUUGGGCGUAAAGCGCGCGUAGGCGGUUUUUUAAGUCUGAUGUGAAAGCCCACGGCUCAACCGUGGAGGGUCAUUGGAAACUGGAAAACUUGAGUGCAGAAGAGGAAAGUGGAAUUCCAUGUGUAGCGGUGAAAUGCGCAGAGACGUGGAGGAACACCAGUGGCGAAGGCGACUUUCUGGUCUGUAACUGACGCUGAUGUGCGAAAGCGUGGGGAUCAAACAGGAUUAGAUACCCUGGUAGUCCACGCCGUAAACGAUGAGUGCUAAGUGUUAGGGGGUUUCCGCCCCUUAGUGCUGCAGCUAACGCAUUAAGCACUCCGCCUGGGGAGUACGACCGCAAGGUUGAAACUCAAAGGAAUUGACGGGGGCCCGCACAAGCGGUGGAGCACGUGGUUUAAUUCGAAGCAACGCGAAGAACCUUACCAAAUCUUGACAUCCUUUGACAACUCUAGAGAUAGAGCCUUCCCCUUCGGGGGACAAAGUGACAGGUGGUGCAUGGUUGUCGUCAGCUCGUGUCGUGAGAUGUUGGGUUAAGUCCCGCAACGAGCGCAACCCUUAAGCUUAGUUGCCAUCAUUAAGUUGGGCACUCUAAGUUGACUGCCGGUGACAAACCGGAGGAAGGUGGGGAUGACGUCAAAUCAUCAUGCCCCUUAUGAUUUGGGCUACACACGUGCUACAAUGGACAAUACAAAGGGCAGCGAAACCGCGAGGUCAAGCAAAUCCCAUAAAGUUGUUCUCAGUUCGGAUUGUAGUCUGCAACUCGACUACAUGAAGCUGGAAUCGCUAGUAAUCGUAGAUCAGCAUGCUACGGUGAAUACGUUCCCGGGUCU